GAUGAACGCUAGCUACAGGCUUAACACAUGCAAGUCGAGGGGCAGCAUGGGCUUAGCUUGCUAAGCCCGAUGGCGACCGGCGCACGGGUGAGUAACACGUAUCCAACCUGCCGAUCACUCCGGUACAGCCUUUCGAAAGAAAGAUUAAUACCCGAUGUUGCGUGUCUUUCUCCUGAAAGAUACGCCAAAGAAUUCCGGUAACCGAUGGGGAUGCGUUCCAUUAGGCAGUUGGCGGGGUAACGGCCCACCAAACCUUCGAUGGAUAGGGGUUCUGAGAGGAAGGUCCCCCGCAUUGGAACUGAGACACGGUCCAA
rnacentral:rRNA from 1 species